AAAAAUCCACUGCGUUUUCACGCGUUUCUACAUGCAUGGCUAGGGUUUUUGGUUUGUGAAAAAGAUGAUUAUGUUUGCUUUUAAUUAUUUUAAAAUAUUUUCUUUGGCCAUAAAAAUAUCAAAAAAAUAUUUUCCAUAUUUCUUAGUCUUAUUUAAUUUUAUUUAAUUUUUAUUUUCGUAUUUAUUUAAUAUUAAUGUUUUAUUUUAAUUAUUUAUUCUAAAUGGUCCAUUUUAACACACUUUUUU
rnacentral:lncRNA from 1 species